CUACGGGCGGCUGCAGUGGGGAAUAUUGGACAAUGGGGGGAACCCUGAUCCAGCGAUGCCGCGUGAGUGAAGAAGGCCUUCGGGUUGUAAAACUCUUUUAUAGGGGAAGAUGAUGACGGUACCCUAUGAAUAAGCUCCGGCUAACUUCGUGCCAGCAGCCGCGGUAAUACGAAGGGAGCAAGCGUUGUUCGGAAUAACUGGGCGUAAAGGGUGCGUAGGCGGCCUGAUAAGUUUGAUGUGAAAGCCCUGGGCUCAACCUGGGAAUAGCAUUGGAUACUGUUGGGCUAGAGUGUUAGAAGGGAUGAUGGAAUUAUGCAUGGAGAGGUGGAAUUCAUAGAUAUGCAUAGGAACACCGGAGGCGAAGGCGAUCAUCUGGAUAACAACUGACGUUGAGGCACGAAAGCGUGGGGAGCAAACAGGAUUAGAUACCCCAGUAGUC
rnacentral:rRNA from 1 species